CUUCCGUAGGGGUAACCUGCGGAAGGAUCAUUAAAGAGUAAGGGUGCUCAGCGCCCGACCUCCAACCCUUUGUUGUUAAAACUACCUUGUUGCUUUGGCGGGACCGCUCGGUCUCGAGCCGCUGGGGAUUCGUCCCAGGCGAGCGCCCGCCAGAGUUAAACCAAACUCUUGUUAUUAAACCGGUCGUCUGAGUUAAAAUUUUGAAUAAAUCAAAACUUUCAACAACGGAUCUCUUGGUUCUCGCAUCGAUGAAGAACGCAGCGAAAUGCGAUAAGUAAUGUGAAUUGCAGAAUUCAGUGAAUCAUCGAAUCUUUGAACGCACAUUGCGCCCCUUGGUAUUCCGAGGGGCAUGCCUGUUCGAGCGUCAUUACACCACUCAAGCUAUGCUUGGUAUUGGGUGCCGUCCUUAGUUGGGCGCGCCUUAAAGACCUCGGCGAGGCCUCACCGGCUUUAGGCGUAGUAGAAUUUAUUCGAACGUCUGUCAAAGGAGAGGACUUCUGCCGACUGAAACCUUUUAUUUUUCUAGGUUGACCUCGGAUCAGGUAGGGAUACCCGCUGAACUUAAGCAUAUCAAUAAGCGGAGGAAAAAA
rnacentral:rRNA from 1 species